GGAACUUUACUUUGUCCGUAGGACAAAGAAAUCAGUAUUCAGUAAACCUUGCAUGGACAGAUGUUGCUGCUAAAUUUCAAGGCUGGAAUCCAUGAGUAGCACGAAAAGAAUUUUCAAAUUUGAGGAGUGCAUUUCUUCGACGGAAUAUGAUGCAAAGGAGUGGAUCAGCGGAUAGAAGAAAGAAACCCUGGGGCUUCGAACCCUACUUUUCAUUUAUUAAGGACAUAUUGGAUCCAGGAAUUGGCAAGGUUCCUUUUUGACAUGCAGUACGAUUUCCAAUAUUUCGCCUCCAAAGCCGAAGAAACCGGCUACUGAAAACGUAAAAAUAAGAAACGAAGAAAUUGCAAAAUGAGGA